GACAGGGGGGCCCUGCGCUCUGCGCUGGCUUCUCCACUUAUUGUCUGCCACUUAGACUGGCCCACGAGGGUAUCGAUGCUCAAAAGAUCCCACAUCUCCCUCCACUAUGAAAAUUAAAUGAAGUGUGCGUCUCAGGCAGGGAAAAGGCACCGGCAUUGGCCUGCCUGGGGAUCUUGUUUUUCUUUUCUCCUUCCCCCCCCCAGUGCGGUGGCCCGUGGGGUAGAGUGAUUCCCCUGAGGGCAGUGACUGCUGCUAAUUUCCAGGAACAAUGUGGACACUCCAGGGCCAGCCGGCGCACCCGAAAGGACACGCCUGUCAUUUAUCCUGUUCGAGGAGCUCCAGGAUAACCGCUUUGUGGAGAAGGGAAUGCAGGGGACUGGAGUGAGCAAAGAAAGGAGGCUCCAGAAGAGGCCAGGUAAGACGUGCUGGAGGCAGCAGUUCUGUCCCCAAGAGGCACCCUCUGCAGCUGUUGGUG
rnacentral:lncRNA from 1 species